AGGCAACGAUCAGUAGGGGUUCUGAGAGGAAGGUCCCCCACAUUGGAACUGAGACACGGUCCAAACUCCUACGGGAGGCAGCAGUGAGGAAUAUUGGUCAAUGGACGAGAGUCUGAACCAGCCAAGUAGCGUGCAGGAUGACGGCCCUAUGGGUUGUAAACUGCUUUUAUAAGGGAAUAAAGUGAGUCUCGUGAGACUUUUUGCAUGUACCUUAUGAAUAAGGACCGGCUAAUUCCGUGCCAGCAGCCGCGGUAAUACGGAAGGUCCGGGCGUUAUCCGGAUUUAUUGGGUUUAAAGGGAGCGUAGGCCGGAGAUUAAGCGUGUUGUGAAAUGUAGACGCUCAACGUCUGCACUGCAGCGCGAACUGGUUUCCUUGAGUACGCACAAAGUGGGCGGAAUUCGUGGUGUAGCGGUGAAAUGCUUAGAUAUCACGAAGAACUCCGAUUGCGAAGGCAGCUCACUGGAGCGCAACUGACGCUGAAGCUCGAAAGUGCGGGUAUCGAACAGGAUUAGAUACCCUGGUAGUCCGCACGGUAAACGAUGGAUGCCCGCUGUUGGUCUGAAUAGGUCAGCGGCCAAGCGAAAGCAUUAAGCAUCCCACCUGGGGAGUACGCCGGCAACGGUGCAACUCAAAUGAAUUGACGGA
rnacentral:rRNA from 1 species